rnacentral:rRNA from 1 species
UACGUAGGCAGCAAGCGUUGUUCGGAGUUACUGGGCGUAAAGAGUGCGUAGGCGGUGCUCUAAGUUUGGUGUGAAAUCUCCCGGCUCAACUGGGAGGGUGCGCCGAAAACUGGAGUGCUUGAGUAUGGGAGAGGCAAGCGGAAUUCCUGGUGUAGCGGUGAAAUGCGUAGAUAUCAGGAGGAACACCUGUGGUGUAGACAGCUUGCUGGACCAUCACUGACGCUGAGGCACGAAAGCGUGGGGAGCAAACGGG